rnacentral:lncRNA from 1 species
GUCUCGCCCGGGCCGCUCGGGCGCCGCGCCUCCUGUUCCGGGCGCGCGGGGUCGGCCGGCCGCCUUCGCUGCUCCGCCGCGGCUCUCAGCGCCGCUCAGCGCGGCGGGCCCGCCCGGGCUCAGGUGCCCCCCGCUCUCCGGACCUUCUCGCCCGGCCCCGCGUCCCCUCCGCGGGCUUCCCCCGGCGGCCGGCCGGGCUCGGAGGCUCGCGGCCGGAGCGGAGCGGAGUGCGCACGCCGGGGUGGCAGGACUUCGGCAAGACCAACUUUCCGUGGUCCUGUCUGGUGUGAACCGUCAGCACAGAUGGCCUCCUGGAGCUUCCCCGAGUCGUUCGCUGGGGGAAGCGGGCGGUGAGCGGCCAGCCCGGGCGCUCCGCAGGCCGCGAGCUCCCGGCAGGGCUGGUGGCGGGGGUCCGCCUGGGGGAGGAAUCCCCGCCUGCUCCAUCGGACCCGGCCUGGCGCGGCUCGCGGCGCUCGGCGGGCUCCCUUCCAUUCUAGAAUCUUCCCGCUUGCUUCCCAGCCCGCGUUCUUCCGCCUGCCUUUAAUUGUAAUUUACAGGAUUAAGGAGUUUGGGGAAGUCGCAGAGCUGCAGCGGAAAGGCAGGGGUCUGAGACUACUUUUGAGAAGAGAAACAACGCAAAACGAUCGCUGGAGGGCCAGAGCCCUGGUCGAAGGUGCCCUAGCUUUUAUGACCUGGUUAAUUGUGUCUCCUUUUUAUUUUUAUUUUUUUCCUUACCACUACUACUACUACUACUUUUAUUUUUUUUUAACCGAUACACUUUGGAGAGAAGAAGCAGACACAGGUUCCCACGGCGUCUGACGCCUGCGGAGCAAGUCCAGAGCCAGCUGGACUCGCAGCCUCUGGCCCGGCGGCACCAACUCCUCACUGGGUCAUUUUGAGCGCGCUGUGCCCACCUUUUCUGUUGCGUGUGGACGUGGGGAGGAUCUUCUAAGUCCCUCCAACGAAGGCAAGUGUGAGACUCUGGCCCUUUAUUUGUAAGAAGCAAGCCUUCAGAUUGCAGAAGUGUCGCGCGGGUCGCCGUGCGUUGCGCGAGUGGGAAGAUGGAGGAGGCCGGCACGCUGCUUUCGUGGACGCAAGUGAACCGGGCGUGAAGGCAGGGUGCGAGCUCUGCCCUUGGCCCAGCCCUGCGUGGGCGCCGUCCCAGAUUCCGGGCGGUGCGGGGUGCAGAGAUCUGGAGAGACUUGCGGGCUCCCCAGCGCAGGCUGCUCUGGGAUUUCGUUGGAAGAUCCGGCAGAGCCUUGGAGGAGAGGGCCCGGGAGGCUGUGUGUGCAGCGGAAACUUGUACGAAUGCCCCCACAGCGGAAAUGGUGCGCACGAGUAAUUUCUGCGGUGCACCCUUUUAAAAAUUGACAAGUGAACAAGAUCAAUUUUUUAAGAAAGCAAAGGUAGAAAACAAAAGGCGUGCGACUUCUUGACUGGCUUGUUCCCGCCUUUCUUCCUUCUCUAUACUCAGAUCAGAAACUUUUCUUUAAUUGCUCUUAUUCAGUGCGACAACUUUUAAUAAAAGCAUUUGCAUUUUAAGCCUGAGUUGCAACCAUAGAUUUAUUGCGAAGUGACAACGUGUCUAUGGAAUAUUUUCGCAGAUGAGACAGGACAUGCGCUCUAGUCGUGCCCAGAUUAAAGCGACGCUGGGCCAUGUGCCUGUGUAGUGCAGACUCGGAGGGGCACACACAUACUCGUCACCACAUGACCACUGUCUAUUAAUAUUGUCAUACCUAAACACUCGCAAAAACAAAAGUUGCUUUUCUUCCCUGUAAUUAAAUCUAAUUUGUUAAUUGUC